rnacentral:rRNA from 1 species
AUAUCAAUAAGCGGAGGAAAAGAAACCAACAGGGAUUGCCCUAGUAACGGCGAGUGAAGCGGCAGCAGCUCAAAUUUGGAAUCUGGCCCCUCCGGGGUCCGAGUUGUAAUUUGUAGAGGAUGCUUCGGCGUCGGCCCCGGGAUAAGUCCCCUGGAACGGGGCGUCUUAGAGGGUGAGAGCCCCGUACUCUCCCGGGCGUCCUUCGCCGUGUGAAGCUCCUUCGACGAGUCGAGUUGUUUGGGAAUGCAGCUCUAAGUGGGAGGUAAAUUUCUUCUAAAGCUAAAUACCGGCCAGAGACCGAUAGCGCACAAGUAGAGUGAUCGAAAGAUGAAAAGCACUUUGGAAAGAGAGUCAAAAAGCACGUGAAAUUGUUGAAAGGGAAGCUCUUGCGGCCAGACUUGCCGCGGCUGUUCAGCCGCCCCCCGGGGCGGUGUACUCUCCCGCCGGCAGGCCAGCGUCGGUUCGAGCGGCCGGACAAAGCCCCUAGGAACGUAGCACCACCCGUGGUGUGUUAUAGCCUGGGGUGUAAUGCGGCCAGCUCGGUCCGAGGGACGCGUUCGCGAGGACGCUGGCGUAAUGGUUGCAAGCGACCCGUCUUGAAACACGGACCAAGGAGUCUAACAUCUGUGCGAGUGUUCGGGUGUCAAACCCGUCCGCGUAAUGAAAGUGAACGUAGGUGGGAACCUCCCUUCGGGGGGGCGCACCAUCGACCGAUCCUGAUGUCUUCGGAUGGAUUUGAGUAAGAGCAUAGCUGUUGGGACCCGAAAGAUGGUGAACUAUUCCCGGAUAGGGUGAAGCCAGAGGAAACUCUGGUGGAGGCUCGCAGCGGUUCUGACGUGCAAAUCGAUCGUCAAAUCUAGGAAUAGGGGCGAAAGACUAAUCGAACCAU